UGCCUCCUCUGGGCAGCGCUGCCACCCUGACAGGAGUUCUAUGGGACAAGAAGUGAAGAGCAGUCAGACAUCAGGUCGAGGAAGGUGUUCUUAGCUAACCAUGGAGGCACCAGCUGCAGCAGCCAUGGCAGCCCCAGCAGCUGCAAACCUGUCUCAGGUGGACUCACCACAUGGUGUGGGCAGCUAAUCAGACCUCUCAUUAGAGCUUCAGACUGCAGCAAAGCUGGCUCAAUAGUUUUCCUUUACCCACUUGCGUGAACAUGAAGUCUAAUACUGCAAAAGAGUGUUUUCCUGUAAUUCAUGGUCAGGGCAUUUUCAGCAGAAAUAGAGUACGGAGAUGAAAGGUUUUUCAGGGGGAGAGGGAAUUGCGAGAACUGUGAGAUAUUUUAGAGUUACUACAAAGAUCAACAGCAAAAACCAAGUGCACAGAUCACAUUCCCAAGUUUACACUACCACCUUAAGAGGAAGACUGGAAGUGCAACCUACAACCAGACCAGUCUUUCAACACUUCCCGAAGCCUGGACAUUUCUGAUUGUACUGCAAUUCCUUGUCUGAAAUCUCAACAUCUAAUAAAAACUCUAAAGAUGUGAGUUGUAAGAGAAAAGAAUGAGAGCAGGAAAAAGCAAAUGACAGAGAGAGUCAAAGUAUAGAGAGAACACUGAACAGAAAGUCAAGAAUUCACCAAGCCAGCAAUAAACAAUGAUGUAGUUUCUCCAUGUCCAUAAUGGAUAAUCUUCCAUCUGAGAAGAUUGUAAUAAUAGCUAGGCAGCAACUGAUUGAUGUAUUACAGAUACGUUAGGGAAUCCUGUUGGACUGUGAUAUUUCCAGUUGUUCAAGUUAUAUAUCUUACUUCUGUA